UUGCAUAAUUAUGAGGAAAUGAACUCAACCACUGGAAAGAGCAACUCAAAGUCAGUACUGUAGGCAUACAUGCAAUAUUUGACCACAUUUGGACAUAAAUACAGUACGAUUAAUACUGAGCUUUAACGAAUUACUGUGAAAUGUAUGGAGAUUUGAGGUUUUAGGACGUCCGUCCCCAAAUACAAUGUAUCUUAAUAUCUGAGUACCCAAUUUCCCAAAUUUUCCCAUUUGUAUUGAUCUAUAAAAUUAAUGUCGAUAGCAUGCCAAGCUGGGUUACCUUUUUUGCGAUAUGUAAAACUAACUCCGUAAUUUGCGGAUUGUCAUUGUCAUUGAUCUUUUCAAAUAUA